rnacentral:rRNA from 1 species
AGUGAACGCUGGCGGUAGGCCUAACACAUGCAAGUCGAACGGCAGCACAGUAAGAGCUUGCUCUUACGGGUGGCGACGGGCGGACGGGUGAGGGAUACAUCCGAAUCUACUUUUUCGUGGGGGAUAACGUAGGGAAACUUACGCUAAUACCGCAUACGACCUACGGGUGAAAGCAGGAGACCUUCGGACCUUGCGCGAUUCAAUGAGCCGAUGUCGGAUUAGCUAGUUGGCGGGGUAAAGGCCCACCAAGGCGACGAUCCGUAGCUGGUCUGAGAGGAUGAUCAGCCACACUGGAACUGAGACACGGUCCAGACUCCUACGGGAGGCAGCAGUGGGGAAUAUUGGACAAUGGGCGCAAGCCUGAUCCAGCCAUACCGCGUGGGUGAAGAAGGCCUUCGGGUUGUAAAGCCCUUUUGUUGGGAAAGAAAAGCAGCAGGUUAAUACCCCGCUGUUCUGACGGUACCCAAAGAAUAAGCACCGGCUAACUUCGUG